AGUAAUUUAGGAGUAAAUGCAAACUUGUAUCUCAUAGGUAUCCUCCAAUCCCCUCAGUGUAGAAUUUUCAAUAUGGAAAGUGAAAUGAUAGAGUAUAUGCUCUUUUUGUACAACGAGCCUUUCAAGGUGUGGUUCUCAAGUUUAUUGGGGUAUAGACAUCUUUUAUUGGCUUCUUCUCUGUGGCAGACUGGUGGAAGUGUAUUUGUGCCUCUUUUGGGAGCUUGGAGCAAGGCAAAAUUUUUUGAUCAUAUCAUGCUUAUCUGCUGGGAAAUUUGGAAAAUGCCUAAUGCAUUAGUCUUAAUGCAUGAAGUAUCUAAUCCUAAAACCGUGUGGGAUACAGAGCCCACUUGGAAAUAAAAAGUUGUGCUUCUCUGUUUGCUUCAAUUAUUCAUAUCCCUUGUGGCGACAGAAAUUGGUCCUACUGGUGGUAUUUGGAUCAGACCUCCAAUUGGCAUCUUGAGUUUCAAUGUUGAUGCAGCCUUCUCGUAUAGAGAAAGGUACGUGGGCUUGGAACUGGUUAAUGGUGUUACAAGGAAAAUGGUAGCAAGUUUGGGUUAGUUGGGGAAGCUUUGGCCCUAAAGGAGGCUUUGCCCCUCGCAAUAGAUAUGGGCAUAACAUAUGCCAUUUUUGUAUCUGAUGAAAUGGAAGUGGUUCAAGCUGUUGACAAAGUUCAUAAGGACCUUUUAGUCUUGGAAAAUUGAAGCUAUUAUUUUAGCAAUUUCCAGAUUGGACAUGGAUAAUCCUGAUUUUACUUUUAGGCAUGUUAAAAGAACAACAAACACUCCAGCAGAUUAUGUAGCAAAAAUUGUGCUUAAGCAAGAGCUUCAUUCUCUUUGAUUAUGUUGCAUAACUUAUGUAACCCUCCUCCUCAGUUAAGGGAACUCUUACUGCUUGAUACUCGCAAAGCCAUCGUUUUCAGUUAAUGAAAUUCCAGUUUUUUUGAUAAAAAGAUCAGAUUAAUUGGGUUAAAUUCAAGUAUCAAUGGUUCCCAGAGUUCUUUUCUUUUUUGGUAGUCUUAAGAUAUUCAGUCAGGAAUCAUAAAUUCAAAGUGGAAAAUUGUAAUUUUACUAUCAAUUUUAUGGGCCAAAUGCAUGAUGAGAGCCCAAGUACCUCCCUUGUUGCCUAAAACUCACUAUAGGUUUCAGAAGUAAAUUAACCGAUACCACUCUUAAAUUUCAGUGCUCGAAGAAUACCCUCACAUCGCCUUCUCAGUUCCUUUACCAACGAGAAAGCAAAACAUAAAGCUAAAUUUGGAAUCUAAGUAUACAAUCAAGAAAGGUGUUUUCUUGCCCUUUGCCUGCUUCUAUAAUCCCUGAAAUUGAUGUCUGGAAGUCUGAUCCUUGGAACUUUCCAGAAUUUGCAUUUGAACUCUAUUAAAGAGAAGAAUAAAGUAGAGAGAGACAGAGAGAUAGAAGGAAAGAUGGGUAGGGAACGCAGUUGCAGUGAUAGAGAGCUCAUGGGUAAUUCCAAUUUCAUAUUUUGUCAAUGAAAUUGUAUCUGAUCCUUACAUGGUAAUAACAUUUCUUUUCAUUUCUAAAGCUUUGAUCUUAUUAUUUUCUUAAAAAAUAUAAUCUGAAGAAUCCCAUUAAUUGGUGUGCGGGUAUGAGAUAUGUCCUAUGCCUCAAGCUCAACAGUACUGCAAGAGUAUUAUUUUGAGUUGGGAUCCUUUGAUUAGAACUCCACCUGGAUUGUAUGCUUUCUGCUACCUCUUUCCAAUUAUAAUAUUUUUAAUUAUGUGUAUUAUCUCAUUCUGUAUCUGUAUCAACAUUAUUAAUGUUUUAAAUUGAAUGAACUGAUUUAUUGCAUCUAUAGUAUUUAUGUAAGUGGCCCAGACAUCUCCAAAAACUGUUGAAGGUCUCGCUGAGGUGAGGGAAGCAGAAGCAAUGUGGCUGAGAGAAGCUUUAUCAUGGAUCAAAAGGAUGGGUUGUAAAAAAGUCAACUUUGAAAUGGAUUCCCGUACGUGGUUAAUGCUGUGAAAGAUAAUGCUUUUGAUAUCACUGAGUUUGGUCCUAUUAGCAUGUCUUGUGUAGACUUUCUUUCUAAGUUAUUUUUUUUUUUUUUGUGAAAAGACAAGAAAAUGAGAUUGCUCAUGUGUUGGCUAGAGCAUCUCAUUUAAAUGCUAGUCAUAUGUCUUGGCAUGAGCCUCCAAACACAGACCUAAACCCUAGGUACUGUAGAAGAAGGUUAGAGAGGAGCAAAGGAAGGAGGUACUUUUCUUGGAUUGCUUUUCACUAGGCGUGAUUUUUACUGUUGUAUCCUGCGGAGCUGUUUUCUUGAGUUAAUGAAGUUGAUCAUUAUUUUCUUUUAAAA